rnacentral:rRNA from 1 species
GACGAACGCUGGCGGCGUGCUUAACACAUGCAAGUCGAACGGGAAGGCCCUGCUUUUGUGGGGUGCUCGAGUGGCGAACGGGUGAGUAACACGUGAGUAACCUGCCCUUGACUUUGGGAUAACUUCAUGAAACUGGGGCUAAUACCGGAUAGGAGCUCCUGCUGCAUGGUGGGGGUUGGAAAGUUUCGGCGGUUGGGGAUGGAAUCGCGGCUUAUCAGCUUGUUGGUGGGGUAGUGGCUUAGCAAGGCUUUGACGGGUAGCCUGGCUGGGCGGGUGACCGGCCAAACUGGGACUGAAAUGAGGCACAGACCAGAAUGGGAGGGAGGGGUGGGGAAGAGUGGAUUAGGGGAGGGAGCCAGAUGCAGCAACGCCGCGUGGGGGAAGUGAGGCAUGCGGUUGGAAAGCGCAUUUGUCUGUGAUGGAGAGUUAAUGACGGUAAUGGGUAAAGAAGCACCGGCUAACUCCGUG